AUCACUGCAUGCACCGAAGUCAGCUACCUGGGUCCGCCUCUUUCUCGUUCGCUCACUGACAGGUGUGAACGGCACCUAACAGAAAUGUAUCAUUUUGUCUGUACAAAGGAAUAUUUAGUGCAUGUGAAUGUUUGCAAAUAUACAGAUCUUAGCUGCACAAGUUAAUACUGUGUUGUGGGCAAAUGUUUUUGACUUGUGUGCACAAAAUGAGUAUAGUAUCUUGGGCAAACCAGAUAAAUGCCCAUCUAUUCCAAAACAUACCAUAAAGCUUUAUUAACUCUCUGUAAUAUGAAAAACUGUAAAAGUAUUUUGUCUCUUGUGAAAAGUUAGUACAGAGCCCCACGAAUGUCUCAUAUAAACAUGAACUGUAUCUUGUGUCUUUACAUUGAUAUCUUCCAUGAACAAAUAAAAAUCAGCAGACUUUCAUUUCUGUUUAACUAUUUAAUUAUUUAAAUCACUUAAUUUCUAUUGGCAUCAAUAUACUCGCUCACUUGCAGAUAUUAUUUUAAAUAAAGUAAAAUAUUUAUGCACUGAAAACAACUCUGUGCUUGCAGGUUUGGUUUUCUGACAGUGGAGUUUCAGCACUCAGUGAACAAGCUGUAGGUCUAACCAUGCAGCCUCAGAUAAGACGUUAGCCAAAUGAUUAUAUGCACUGCUGUUAUUCACUCUACUCAUCAUCUGGGGCCCUUUAAGCCUUCCACUGCCAGAGUUUUCACUGAGCUCACAGGUGGUUGAAAUCAUGUUGAUUAGGUCUUAGGUUGGACACUAGGACAAAUACUGUUUCACCUCCAAUUCACAAGGUGGUGGUGAUGCACCUGAAAAAGCAACAGAAGAAGAAGGAAGUGUCCUUGUCUGACAACCACCAGUAAACACCUGCAUGUUUUAGUCUGUGUUUCAGCUGAAGGGAACGUCUGUCUUGGGGAUAUUUUCCCAGUGAAUGGUAUCUGCGCAGCAGCUGAAGGUUUUCAAGCAUGCUGGAAUUGUCGCUCCCAAGUGAACGCCUGCAGACACACACUGACGCCUGCAGACACAUGCAGACAGCCUCUGAACCCACACACUACCCUGCUGUUUCCAGGAGGCAGAGCAGCUUGUCUCCUAACCAGAGGGUUGGUGGUUCAAGUCCCAGCUUCUCCAUUCCACAUCUCCAAGUGUCUUUGGCUGGCACUGUGUCAAUAAUCCACCUCGUCUGUCUGACCUUUCACCUCCAACUCUGAUGUCCUCAGGUCAGUUCUCUGUCUGUUUUCUCAGCUGUUUGCCCUCUAAUCAGCCUCUGACCUUUGAGACAAAAUGAGGUUCAGGGAGGUUUUGUGUCGUUAUCUGUGUCCAAAGGUCACAUAAACUCAGCUGAACAAAACGGGCAGUAGAAACCAAAGGUCACAUAAACUCAGCUGAACAAAACGGGCAGUAGAAAC